CUCCGCUUUGCUUUAUGCUCAAAAGAUGGCACACCCGGUAAAAUAGAUACUGCAUACCACACUCUCUAUCUAGAGGACCUAACACUGUGAGCCCUCUCAGAGAAGAUAGCUCUCCUUUUACAAUGUAACUCCCCAGCAGAUCAGCCAUAUCUACAGACAAGGACCUACUGGGAUCCACGUGCUGGACUCUGAUGAGAUGAAAAUAAUGAUGGCUACCAUGUUGAAGUGACUAGAGGAAAGUUCAGGAGUGGAUGAUUUAAGAUCACUGUCCAAGUGUUUGGAACCUAUAGGUCUUAUUGAGGACCAUUAGACUUUGUAACAUUAAAUGGUGCAAUUCUAUAGAUUGUUCAUAGCUCACCCUGUAUAUCAUUUUCUGUUCUGAUUCAUUUUGAUGAGAUGUGUAAUUAGUUUAUAAAACAUGGUUAAUUAUAAAUACCUUUAUUACUCCUGCAAAAUUGACAUGUUUUUUAAGUCAAUACUAUGAAAAUCAAUAUAAAAUCACUCUUAAGUCAUGUUUGUCAAAUGUAUCAUGAAGUGCUGUUCAAAGAAAUCCCAAAUACUUUAUACUAGAUUGGCCUUCCUUUGGUACAAUCUAUAGUUUUUGAUUUGUUUGAUGUUACGUAUUAGAAGGCAAACAUUAUUUUCUGCAGUAUCCAUACAGUAAAUUGAGUGGGGACUGUGAGAGCAAAAUUACAAGAUUAUGUCAUAGGAUCAAAUGGUUGUUUUAUGUAAUCUAAGGGUGGUUCGUCAACCAGCCAUCGUUAAUAUUCUGUGCUUUC